rnacentral:tRNA from 1 species
GCAAGCUGUAGCUCAAAAAUAGAGCGUUGGUCUUGUAAACCAAAGGCUGGAUUAAAGUAAUCUCACUUGCU